CAAAAUACCAAACAGCCAGAAUUAAUUAAGGAAAGGUUUAUUUUGCUCACAAUUUGUGGAAGUUUCAGCCCAUACUUGGUUUGCUUCAAGGCAGAGGGUAAAGUUCACGGUGGUG